CAAAUAGUGAGAAAUGAGACCAAACCUGGGGGGGGGGGGGGCACUGAUGAAGAGUGGUGUAGACACACACACACACACACACACACACACACAGACACACAUACAGAGACACACACACACACACACACAGACACACAUACAGAGACACACAUACACACACACACACACACACACACACACACGCACACAGAGACACACACACACGCACACACACAGAGACACACACACACACACACACACACACACACACAGAGACACGCACACACACAUACACACACACACACGCACACACACACACACACACACACACAGAGACACUCGCACACAAACAUACAAAGACACCCACAUAUAAAGACAGACACACACACACACUGAUGUCUGACGUGCUGCUGUACGUCUUUGGUGUGUAAUCUUGUUUCACUUCACAGCGUUUGUUCUUCACUCUGGUUGUGUGAACAGAAAGGUCAACAACAUAUCGUCCGUCCUUCACUGUUUACACACGAAUCAAAGUCACAGUGUGUGUGCGUGUAUGUGUGUGUGUGUGUGUGUGCGUGUAUGUGCGUGUGCGUGUGUGUGCUUUCAUCAGUCCAGCAUCCUGCCUCACAGGUAACGCAGCAGAAACAUGGUGGCUCCUCGUUCCUCCUUCGAUGGUCAUUGAAUCAGUUUGUGUUGCUGCAGGUUUCAUCAGACUGGAUGGUUUCUGAUGGACUUCAGCAGGUUCUGGUUUCUACGAGCUUCCAGAGGGGUUUUAAACGCACCACAAGUCCCCAUGCUGCAGGAGGUGGAUGCUGCCUUCACUGACAGGGAAUAAAACUCCUGCAGCAGGUGUGUGUGUGUGUGUGUGUGUGUGUGUGUGUGUGUGUGUGUGUGUGUGUGUGUGUGUGUGUGUGUGUGUGUGCGUGUGUGUGUGUGUGUCUGUGUGCGCGUGCGUGCGUGUGUGAGAGCUGAUGCCAACAGGAUGUCCUGCUCCCGCUGCUGCUGUGUGGGGCUGCUGGACGGGAGCCGGAAGAAGGAGCGGUUGGUGAGGCGCGUGGAGGAGCAGGAGGAGGACAGCACGAGGAACAUGGACAUCUCUCUGCUCAGGGAGCAGUACAGGAGCACGAGGGAGGCGCAGAGGAGACACACUCAGGUGCUGCUGUUCAGGACAGUGUCGGAGGAGCUGUCGGAGGCCGUCGGCAUCGUCCCCGUCACUCAGGGUUUGGCGUCGCCAUGGGAACCAGACAGCAGCUCACCGUCGGCUGUGACCUUUGACCCCGACCCGACGACCGGCUGCGACCCCUGGCACGUCCAUCUGGAUCUCCACCUGCGCUCCCGCCCCUGCGUCGGCGCGCAGCUCACAGCUUCCUCCCCGGAAACAACAAACACCAACAGUUCCUCGCGACGUUCGUCGUCCUCCGAGUCCGUCGGCAGGAAACUCUCCGUGGACUCUCCGUCUGAGUCUCCCUGCAGCUCCUCCUGCAGUACCAAAGAAGAAGAUCACACUGCCGGGUGCCGAGCAGAGCCAGAGGAGACGGAUCCCCCCCACGCCUCCACCAACAUUCUGCAUGAAGACCUGCAGGAGAAGCCGUGUGCGACGGGGAACAUCGUCCUGCAGAGGAAGUUGUCGGCCCCGGCCCUCAGACUCACCAGGCAGCUGAGUGUCGGGGGGGUGGGCUCGUCCACGGGGGGGCCCCAGAACCACAACUACCACCCAUUUCCCAACAGGAAGACCCCGAGGAUCUCGGAGGCCGCCCGGAGACUGGGCAUGUACUCGUCCUUCUGAUUUCAGACGGGUCCAUUCGUCAUUAAGAACACUCAGAAAUGAAAAUAUCAUUUUAUUUCAUGUAUUUCACGUUAUGUGUAUUCUUGCACAGAGGAAUAUCUACAUGCAAGAUUCUCAAUAUGUUUUCAUGUAAUUAUUUUCUUCCUUAGAGGACAAAAGUGUCAGAAAACUGCCAUAAAAAUAUUAUUAAUUAAUAUUAUUUUCCACUUUCACUGAGUUUAUUAAAAAAACAAAAUAUAAUUAUUUCCUGUAAACAAAUUUUUUUUAUCUUCAUGUGUCCACAGAAUGAGACGUCUGACUGAUUAUAUAUAAUAAUAAUAUAUAGUUUGUGCAGGAAACCAUGGAAACAGAAGGUGUUUGUCCCAAACAGGAGAAAAUGUGUCAAUCUGAUGAACAGUAAAAAGUUUAAUUCUGAUCCAGAAGUGAAGCUGAGAUCAUACGAAGCAUUAACAGACAAAAUGAUGGAUCAUGAGGAGAAAAAUGUUUUGUGGAUUUGAGUUCUGCAUUAAAAUGAUCAGAUUUACAAUAAUUAUAAUAAAUCAGAUUUUGUCUUUGACACAAUUACAACUGAAUUUAAUUUUGUAUUGAACCUUAAUUUCUGCUCUCUUAUGGAGAACUUAAUAAAUAAACGUACUACUUUUAUUUUAUGUUAUUUUGUUUUACCUGCUUUGUUUUAUUUUAUGUUUUAUUUUACUUUAUUCAAGGUUGCCUUGUCUCUUAAGUGUAUUUUUAUUUACAUUUAUUUGACUUGACUUUUGUUUUAUUUUACUUUGUUAUUCUGUGUUAUCGGUUUUAUUGUAUGUUGCCUUGUCUCUUCUCAACUCUCGCCUCAGUCGAUCAAAGAUCGUCUAUAUUUAAGAGGACGAGUCUCGGCUGUGACGUACCCGCUGAGCAGUUGGCUUGACUUUACGUCACUUUACUUCACGUUC
ensembl:lncRNA chromosome unknown C9orf152 homolog